rnacentral:rRNA from 1 species
AUCCUAGCUUGCUAGGAGGCGUCGAGCGGCGGACGGGUGAGUAACGCAUAGGAAUCUGCCCGGUAGUGGGGGAUAACCUGGGGAAACCCAGGCUAAUACCGCAACGCCCUACGGGGGAAAGCAGGGGCUCUUCGGACCUUGCGCUAUCGGAUGAGCCUAUGUCGGAUUAGCUGGUUGGUGAGGUAAUGGCUCACCAAGGCGACGAUCCGUAGCUGGUCUGAGAGGAUGAUCAGCCACAUCGGGACUGAGACACGGCCCGAACUCCUACGGGAGGCAGCAGUGGGGAAUAUUGGACAAUGGGCGCAAGCCUGAUCCAGCCAUGCCGCGUGUGUGAAGAAGGCCCUCGGGUUGUAAAGCACUUUCAGUGGGGAAGAAAUCCUCGGGGCUAAUACCCUCGAGGGAGGACAUCACCCACAGAAGAAGCACCGGCUAACUCCGUGCCAGCAGCCGCGGUAAUACGGAGGGUGCGAGCGUUAAUCGGAAUUACUGGGCGUAAAGCGCGCGUAGGCGGCCUGAUAAGCCGGUUGUGAAAGCCCCGGGCUCAACCUGGGAACGGCAUCCGGAACUGUCAGGCUAGAGUGCAGGAGAGGAAGGUAGAAUUCCCGGUGUAGCGGUGAAAUGCGUAGAGAUCGGGAGGAAUACCAGUGGCGAAGGCGGCCUUCUGGACUGACACUGACGCUGAGGUGCGAAAGCGUGGGUAGCAAACAGGAUUAGAUACCCUGGUAGUCCACGCCGUAAACGAUGUCGACUAGCCGUUGGGGUCCUUGAGACCUUUGUGGCGCAGUUAACGCGAUAAGUCGACCGCCUGGGGAGUACGGCCGCAAGGUUAAAACUCAAAUGAAUUGACGGGGGCCCGCACAAGCGGUGGAGCAUGUGGUUUAAUUCGAUGCAACGCGA